AUUGAACGCUGGCGGCAGGCCUAACACAUGCAAGUCGAACGGUAGCACAGAGAGCUUGCUCUCGGGUGGCGAGUGGCGGACGGGUGAGUAACGUCUGGGAAACUGCCCGAUGGAGGGGGAUAACUACUGGAAACGGUAGCUAAUACCGCAUAACGUCGCAAGACCAAAGUGGGGGACCUUCGGGCCUCACACCAUCGGAUGUGCCCAGAUGGGAUUAGCUAGUAGGUGGGGGAACGGCUCACCUAGGCGACGAUCCCUAGCUGGUCCGAGAGGAUGACCAGCCACACUGGAACUGAGACACGGUCCAGACUCCUACGGGAGGCAGCAGUGGGGAAUAUUGCACAAUGGGCGCAAGCCUGAUGCAGCCAUGCCGCGUGUAUGAAGAAGGCCUUCGGGUUGUAAAGUACUUUCAGCGGGGAGGAAGGCGAUGUGGUUAAUAACCGCGUCGAUUGACGUUACCCGCAGAAGAAGCACCGGCUAACUCCGUGCCAGCCGCCGCUGUAA
rnacentral:rRNA from 1 species